rnacentral:snRNA from 1 species
AUUGCUUCUUGGCCUUUUGGCUAAGAUCAAGUGUAGUGUCUGUUCUUAUCAGUUUAAUGUAGCAUUUUAGUACUUAACAUCACUUAAUUUUUAAAUUCUU